rnacentral:rRNA from 1 species
CAGCAGCCGCGGGAAUACGUAGGGUGCAAGCGUUAAUCGGAAUUACUGGGCGUAAAGCGUGCGCAGGCGGUUAUAUAAGACAGAUGUGAAAUCCCCGGGCUCAACCUGGGAACUGCAUUUGUGACUGUAUAGCUAGAGUACGGCAGAGGGGGAUGGAAUUCCGCGUGUAGCAGUGAAAUGCGUAGAUAUGCGGAGGAACACCGAUGGCGAAGGCAAUCCCCUGGGCCUGUACUGACGCUCAUGCACGAAAGCGUGGGGAGCAAACAGGAUUAGAGACCCGCGUAGUCCCUGUCUCUUAUAU